CUUAGGAAUCUACCUAGUAGUGGGGGAUAGCACGGGGAAACUCGUAUUAAUACCGCAUACGUCCUACGGGAGAAAGGGGGCAUCUUGUUGCUCUCGCUAUUAAAUGAGCCUAAGUCGGAUUAGCUAGAUGGUGGGGUAAAGGCCUACCAUGGCGACGAUCUGUAGCUGGUCUGAAAGGAUGAUCACCCACACCGGGACUGAGACACGGCCCGGACUCCUACGGGAGGCAGCAGUGGGGAAUAUUGGACAAUGGGGGAAACCCUGAUCCAGCCAUGCCGCGUGUGUGAAGAAGGCCUUUUGGUUGUAAAGCACUUUAAGCAGUGAAGAAGACCGAUUGGUUAAUACCCAUUAACGAUGACAUUAGCUGCAAAAUAAGCACCGGCUAACUCUGUGCCAGCAGCCGCGGUAAUACAGAGGGUGCAAGCGUUAAUCGGAAUUACUGGGCGUAAAGCGAGCGUAGGUGGCUUGAUAAGUCAGAUGUGAAAUCCCCGGGCUUAACCUGGGAACUGCAUCUGAAACUGUUAGGCUAGAGUAGGUGAGAGGGAAGUAGAAUUUCAGGUGUAGCGGUGAAAUGCGUAGAGAUCUGAAGGAAUACCGAUGGCGAAGGCAGCUUCCUGGCAUCAUACUGACACUGAGGCUCGAAAGCGUGGGUAGCAAACAGGAUUAGAUACCCUGGUAGUCCACGCCGUAAACGAUGUCUACUAGUCGUUGGGUCCCUUGAGGACUUAGUGACGCAGCUAACGCAAUAAGUAGACCGCCUGGGGAGUACGGCCGCAAGGUUAAAACUCAAAUGAAUUGACGGGGGCCCGCACAAGCGGUGGAGCAUGUGGUUUAAUUCGAUGCAACGCGAAGAACCUUACCUGGUCUUGACAUAUCUAGAAUCCUGCAGAGAUGCGGGAGUGCCUUCGGGAAUUAGAAUACAGGUGCUGCAUGGCUGUCGUCAGCUCGUGUCGUGAGAUGUUGGGUUAAGUCCCGCAACGAGCGCAACCCUUGUCCUUAGUUACCAGCGGGUUAAGCCGGGAACUCUAAGGAUACUGCCAGUGACAAACUGGAGGAAGGCGGGGACGACGUCAAGUCAUCAUGGCCCUUACGACCAGGGCUACACACGUGCUACAAUGGUAGGUACAGAGGGCAGCUACACAGCGAUGUGAUGCGAAUCUCAAAAAGCCUAUCGUAGUCCAGAUUGGAGUCUGCAACUCGACUCCAUGAAGUAGGAAUUCUGCU
rnacentral:rRNA from 2 species